rnacentral:lncRNA from 1 species
UUGCAUAUAUUGAUGGGGCAUGUUGCAUUGAUUCUUGAAUGUCAACCUCAAGAUAUUGUUUCUUUCUUGAAUUCUCCUUGAUCUCUUAAUGAGCCAAGAAACAACAUACAAUGUCAUGAAUAUCUUCUAAAGCUUAGUAUAUGGCAUUGCCAUUUGCUACUUGUGAGUUAUAUAGUAGCUACUAAAACUAUUGAAUAAUUUGGGAGUACAUUGCAC